UACGGAGGGUGCAAGCGUUAUCCGGAUUCACUGGGUUUAAAGGGUGUGUAGGUGGUCAUGUUAGUCUUCUGUUAAAUUCUUCGGCUUAACCGGGGGCAUGCAGGGGAAACGGCAUGACUAGAGGAUGCGAGAGGUGUGUGGAACUCUAAGUGUAGGGGUGAAAUCCGUUGAUAUUUAGGGGAACACCAAAAGCGAAGGCAGCACACUGGCGCAUUCCUGACACUGAGACACUAAAGCGUGGGUAGCGAAUGGG
rnacentral:rRNA from 1 species